ACCAAAUAGAUACCCGGGUAGUCCACGCCCUAAACGAUGCGAACUGGAUGUUGGGUACGACUUACGGUACUCAGUGUCGAAAGCUAAACGCGUUAAGUUCGCCGCCUGGGGAGUACGGUCGCAAGACUGAAACUCAAAGGAAUUGACGGGGGCCCGCGCAAGCGGUGGAGUAUGUGGUUUAAUUCGAUGCAACGCGAAGAACCUUACCUGGCCUUGACAUCUGUCGAAUCCUGCAGAGAUGCGGGAGUGCCGCAAGGAACGACAAGACAGGUGCUGCAUGGCUGUCGUCAGCUCGUGUCGUGAGAUGUUGGGUUAAGUCCCGCAACGAGCGCAACCCUUGUCCCUAGUUGCCAGCACGUAAUGGUGGGAACUCUAGGGAGACUGCUGGUGACAAACCGGAGGAA
rnacentral:rRNA from 1 species